AUGAUGAAGUGGAAGAGGAGGAUGAGGAGGAGGAAGAAGAGGUGGUGGUGGAGGAGGAGGAGUGAGUUCAUUAGAUCUGUUCAGCCCUAACCUCCACCCCUUCCCCUCCCCCACCACACCCUUCCUUCACCCAGGGAACCCAGAAGUUCCUACACAUGAGUGUGUAUGAGCAACUACAGGACCAGAUGGAACUGACCAGCAUGCUUCUUGUUUGUUAUCACUAAGGACUGGAUACCUAGGACCAGACACUCUCUUGAAUGGUCGACAGUAAUGGUGCUAUGACUCAGAUUGGAACUGAAGAAGUAGGAGAAAACACCCUACCCCAGCAAUGCUAGUGGCUCUGGCGCCUCAGGAUCUGUUUGUUUUUUUUUUCCUGGAGUCCUAACCUUGAUGGAGUCGAGGAAGAAAAGGAAAGCAAGCACAACUGAUUGAUGCAUUUGGGAUGUGUGCAGUGUGUGCAAUGUAUAACAUCUGUGGACCUGUCACAUCCUGGACAGGAAAAGAACUCUUCUGUGAGUCCAUGGAGGUCUUCUGCCAGAAGGAGCUCUGUUUGUGCCCCAUCCUACCUCCACAGGGAGGAAAAUUGAGCACAGUGGAUCAAUGCAUUUGGGAAAUGGUGUGCAAUGUGUAACACCUGUGGACCUCUUAUGUCCUGGAUGGGGAAUGAAAAGAAAAGUGAGCACAACUGAUCAACGCAUUUGGGAAAACAUGUGCAAUGUGUAACACCUGUGGACCUCUCACCUCCUGGAUGGGUUCAUUAAUUAGAUGUGGCCAAUAUACAAUGCCAAUGGUGAUGAGAUGCCCGAUUUUCUAUAUAAGAGAAUUUGGAAAUACAUUCAACAGGAUUGAAGUCACCUGAUUGGUAGCAGAUUUUAGCAUGAACAUCUAAGGAGUCUCUACAAGUCACUUGGAACUAGAAAAACAAUUCCACUGAAGAGUUGCCCCUGAGGACAAGAUAUUUUCCAGAUUGCCCCAAGAAAAGAUGUUCCAGAUUCCAUACAACUACAUGGGACAUCUGGAUUCCGAGAUGAAAUUUGUUAAUUAAAUGGACUUUAGGGGUGGGUUGGUGAUCAUCAUUGUACAGGCCUCCCCUAGAGAAAAAGGGAGAAACUCAGAAAAUCAAAUUGUUCUGAUCCCAUUCUGUAAUUGAUUCAAUUCUCUGUCAAUCCUGAUAUGUUGUAAAACUGCCCAAGCCAUGUUUAUUUGUCUCUGAAUCUAGUUCAGAAACUCAGCUCUCCCAUUAAUCCCCAAAUGGCAUUGGUUCUUCCUUCACCUCCUCAGGGGUGGGAUGGAAUAAAAUUGUAACAGUUGUGGUAAUUUU